rnacentral:rRNA from 1 species
UACACUCCUACGGGAGGCAGCAGUGGGGAAUAUUGGACAAUGGGCGCAAGCCUGAUCCAGCCAUGCCGCGUGAGUGAUGAAGGCCCUAGGGUUGUAAAGCUCUUUUGUGCGGGAAGAUAAUGACGGUACCGCAAGAAUAAGCCCCGGCUAACUUCGUGCCAGCAGCCGCGGUAAUACGAAGGGGGCUAGCGUUGCUCGGAAUCACUGGGCGUAAAGGGUGCGUAGGCGGGUCUUUAAGUCAGGGGUGAAAUCCUGGAGCUCAACUCCAGAACUGCCUUUGAUACUGAAGAUCUUGAGUUCGGGAGAGGUGAGUGGAACUGCGAGUGUAGAGGUGAAAUUCGUAGAUAUUCGCAAGAACACCAGUGGCGAAGGCGGCUCACUGGCCCGAUACUGACGCUGAGGCACGAAAGCGUGGGGAGCAAACAGGAUUAGAAACCCCUGUAGUCCCAU